rnacentral:rRNA from 1 species
UACGUAGGGUGCGAGCGUUAAUCGGAAUUACUGGGCGUAAAGCGUGCGCAGGCGGUCUGUUAAGACCGAUGUGAAAUCCCCCGGGCUUAACCUGGGAACUGCAUUGGUGACUGGCAGGCUAGAGUAUGGCAGAGGGGGGUAGAAUUCCACGUGUAGCAGUGAAAUGCGUAGAGAUGUGGAGGAAUACCGAUGGCGAAGGCAGCUCGCUGGGACGUGACUGACGCUGAGACGCGAAAGCGUGGGGAGCGAACAGGAUUAGAAACCUAGUA